UGCCAGACUCCUACGGGAGGCAGCAGUGAGGAAUAUUGGUCAAUGGCCGAGAGGCUGAACCAGCCAAGUCGCGUGAGGGAAGACGGCCCUACGGGUUGUAAACCUCUUUUGUCGGGGAGCAAAGGGCGCCACGUGUGGCGCUUUGCGAGUACCUGAAGAAAAAGCAUCGGCUAACUCCGUGCCAGCAGCCGCGGUAAUACGGAGGAUGCGAGCGUUAUCCGGAUUUAUUGGGUUUAAAGGGUGCGUAGGCGGGCUGUUAAGUCAGCGGUCAAAUGUCGGGGCUCAACCCCGGCCUGCCGUUGAAACUGGCGGCCUCGAGUGGGCGAGAAGUAUGCGGAAUGCGUGGUGUAGCGGUGAAAUGCAUAGAUAUCGCGCAGAACUCCGAUUGCGAAGGCAGCAUGCCGGCUCCACACUGACGCUGAGGCACGAAAGCGUGGGUAUCGAACAGGAUUAGAUACCCUUGUA
rnacentral:rRNA from 1 species